GGACCCGCACAAGCGGUGGAGCAUGUGGUUUAAUUCGAUGAUACGCGAGGAACCUUACCAGGGCUUAAAUGUAGUGGGACAGGUCUAGAGAUAGACCCUUCUUCGGACUCAUUACAAGGUGCUGCAUGGUUGUCGUCAGCUCGUGCCGUGAGGUGUCAGGUUAAGUCCUAUAACGAGCGCAACCCCUAUCGUUAGUUGCCAGCGGGUAAUGCCGGGAACUCUAGCGAAACUGCCGGUGCAAACCGAGAGGAAGGUGGGGAUGACGUCAAAUCAUCACGGCCCUUACGUCCUGGCUACACACGUGCUACAAUGGUCGGUACAGAGAGCAGCCACUGCGCGAGCAGGAGCGAA
rnacentral:rRNA from 1 species